CCUACGGGAGGCAGCAGUGGGGAAUAUUGCACAAUGGGGGAAACCCUGAUGCAGCGACGCCGCGUGAGUGAAGACGUAACUCGUUAUGUAAAGCUCUAUCAGCAGGGAAGAAAAUGACGGUACCUGAGUCAGAAGCCCCGGCUAACUACGUGCCAGCAGCCGCGGUCAUACGUCGGCGGCAAGCGUUAUCCGGAUUUACUGGGUGUAAAGGGAGCGUAGACGGCAGGGCAAGUCUGGAGUGAAAGGCGGGGGCUCAACCCCCGGACUGCUCUUGAAACUGUCAGGCUGGAGUGCAGGAGAGGUAAGUGGAAUUCGUAGUGUAGCGGUGAAAUGCGUAGAGAUUAGGAGGAACUCCAGUGGCGAAGGCGGCUUACUGGACUGUAACUGACGUUGAGGCUCGAAAGCGUGGGUAGCAAACAGGAUUAGAUACCCGAGUAGUC
rnacentral:rRNA from 1 species